AUGAAUGCAGAAAUGGCAAAGAAAGAUACAGCUACAGAGAAGCUUCAACAGAAGUAUGAACUCCUGUGCAACCUGACAAGUGCUCAAGCAACUGUCAUCCAAAACCUGAAGUUGAAGAAUAUGAAAGAGAAGGAAUUGAUGAGUGAGGCUAGGAUGAAUUUGGAGUUGAAGAAUUCAGAGUUCACAAAGUUUGAGGAGAAGCUCACCCAAGAGAAUCUAGAGUUGAAGUUCCAGGUUGCUGAUCUGCUGAAGCUCAAGGAAAACCAUAAUGAAGAGAACCAGAUGCAAGAGUUUAAGAUUACUAAGCUCAUGAAGGCAGAGGAGAAGCUGAAGGAGAAGAUCAAGGGGAUCCAGGCCAUCUUGCAGAACUGA
rnacentral:rRNA from 1 species